UACGUAGGGUGCAAGCGUUAAUCGGAAUUACUGGGCGUAAAGCGUGCGCAGGCGGUUUUGUAAGUCUGUCGUGAAAUCCCCGGGCUCAACCUGGGAAUUGCGAUGGAGACUGCAAGGCUAGAAUCUGGCAGAGGGGGGUAGAAUUCCACGUGUAGCAGUGAAAUGCGUAGAUAUCAAGAGGAACACCAGUGGCGAAGGCGAGUCCCUGGACGAUACCUGACACUGAGGCACGAAAGCCAAGGGAGCAAACAGG
rnacentral:rRNA from 1 species